rnacentral:rRNA from 1 species
GAGUUUGAUCGUGGCUCAGAUUGAACGCUGGCGGCAUGCCUUACACAUGCAAGUCGAACGGCAGCAUGAUCUAGCUUGCUAGAUUGAUGGCGAGUGGCGAACGGGUGAGUAAGUACAUCGGAACGUGCCCUGUAGUGGGGGAUAACUAGUCGAAAGAUUAGCUAAUACCGCAUACGACCUGAGGGUGAAAGUGGGGGACCGCAAGGCCUCAUGCUAUAGGAGCGGCCGAUGUCUGAUUAGCUAGUUGGUGGGUAAAGGCCCACCAAGGCGACGAUCAGUAGCUGGUCUGAGAGGACGAUCAGCCACACUGGGACUGAGACACGGCCCAGACUCCUACGGGAGGCAGCAGUGGGGAAUUUGGACAAUGGGGGCAACCCUGAUCCAGCAAUGCCGCGUGUGUG